rnacentral:rRNA from 1 species
UACGAAGGGAGCUAGCGUUGUUCGGAAUCACUGGGCGUAAAGCGCACGUAGGCGGAUGUGUCAGUCAGGGGUGAAAUCCCGGAGCUCAACUUCGGAACUGCCUCUGAUACAGCACGUCUUGAGUCCGAUAGAGGUGGGUGGAAUUCCUAGUGUAGAGGUGAAAUUCGUAGAUAUUAGGAAGAACACCGGUGGCGAAGGCGGCCCACUGGAUCGGUACUGACGCUGAGGUGCGAAAGCCGUGGGGAGCAAACAGG